rnacentral:tRNA from 1 species
AUUUAUAUAGUUUAAUAAAACAUUACAUUUUCAUUGUAAAAUUGAAUUACAUUCUAUAAAUG